AGUACACCACUUGCUCUUUUGCUCCACAGUCCACGCACAUAAAGAAUAAAAUCCCUGCUUACCUAAACUACAACACACUGAUAUUACAUGAUAAACACACAACAGACAGGGUCGGAUUGAAACAAAUUUAUAGUAAAAAUUGCAACUAAAUAUAUCCACAUCAGUUCAUCAGAUCUAAUAUAUUUAGAUCAGAUCUAAUAUAUUCAGAGAUCCAGGCCACAAAAUUAAUACGUGUUUGAAUUGUGUUUUGUGUAUUUCAAAAACAUGUAUGGCGAAGAAGGCAAACAAAGUUUUACAAAUAAAGGGUUUUUUUUAAAUAUUACUGAAUGUUUCUUUGGUUUCGCCAACUCGAAGCUUAGAAGGUAGUCCUAUACUGAAAUUAUCAAGAUCUGAUAGGUGAAUCAGUACAGCCAUAUGCAUCAAAUACCGUUGUUCUAGCUCCUUCUCUCUCAAAGCAGAUAGCUGUGCUGGUAUUUCAGCUGUCUCAACAGGUUCAGCAUUUGGUCUUCUAACAUGAUUUUUCAGUGAAAAUAUUGGAAACGUAUUAUCAAUUGUAGCAUCAUUGUUGCCUGUUGUCUGCAAAAAUGAUUCCCACCAUCCUUGUGCUGUUGAGGUCAUUACAGAAAACCAUUUUUGCAUGUCAACUGCAAGCUUAGGUUUGCAGUUGAUUUGCAGACUCUUCGAAGAUUUGGUACAUCAGUUUUGGAUUGAUCCAUACCAUCCAAUAUGAUUGUUAGAUA